rnacentral:lncRNA from 1 species
CCCGUAUCGCUGGAGCGGAGGGGUCCCGCCGCCUCAGGUGCGGAGGACCAGGUGUGGCUGUUGACAGACGCGGAAACGUUGGUGGGGGAGGGGCGGGGCGGGGAGGAGGGGGCGGGGGCGGGGCGCUUGGGGGCCUGCGGGGACGCGCGGGAGGACGGGGUGCGGGCCUGCCCGCCCAGCCCCUCUGCCCGGAGGGGCCCUGCCCGCCGGCGCGGAGGGCAGGGUCCGCUGCCCUGGAUCCCGAGAAGGCGCGAGUCCUGGAGGGCGCCCCGGGCGGGUUCCUUCCCGAUCCGCGUUCAGCGUCUGGUCCAGAGGCGGUGCCGCUGGACUCGGGCCUGGGCCGGCCCCCCGUGUCGCACACUUGCUGUCCGGCGGGGUCCGCUGCAGCUUGGCCGGGUCGGCCGGGAGCCCGCCCCGAGUGCCCGCGGCGGCAAAGGGCCGGUGCCCAUCCCGAGAAGACAAAAAGGCCUCGGGGCCGAGGGAGCGCGGGUCACGGCAAGGCCGGAUAGGGGGACACACCGGCGUGGCGGGACUGCAGUGUUUCGCCCAAAGUCACCAGGAGGUGUUUUGCCGCACUUUAGCUCGUACCCAGCAGGUCAACCUGACCUUAGUUCUCCGGGAAGAACAGCUCUCCUUCAGAGGAGGGCUGGGACGGUGUCAGCGAGCGGGAGACGCUCCUCGCUGUCAUUAGAGAGGCGUUCCGGGCCUUGGGGAGUGUCCGAAGCACAUGGACAGGGCGUGUGUGCUGGGGGCUGCUCGGGGGAAAAACACGUUUUGGGCCGAAUCACCUUAAACCAGAGUUGUCUUCCCCAUACCCCUCAAUGCGUGACAACUUGUCAUCCUCAUCUGCCUGCCCUGCCUCCGGGGACUGCUGAGGAUCAGGGGAGGUGUGGAGGAGAGCCCGCCUGGCACAGUGCUCUGCGAGGGAAAGGGACUGGAUACGCUGAGAGUCUGGCCCGCCUACCCUCCUCCAGGGACUCAUUAGGCACUGGGUUACUGAGAGGUCAGGCUGGCUGCUGUUUCCUCGAAGAGAAGAGGUCAUUUGACCAGAACUGA